rnacentral:lncRNA from 1 species
GGGUCAGUGACAAGUGUGUAAUGGAAACUUCUUUUUCUUGUUUCCAGAUUAACGGACCUGCUUCCACAGAUAUCUACCGUGUAAAACAAAAGCCUACUGCAAAUUUUAGCUUCGUUGCUCCAAAACAUGGGAACUACGAAUUUUGUUUUGAUACCUCUAAUACCAGAAAUGUUAAGAAGGUAGAGUUUACCAUUGACAUUGGUGAAACUCCAACACAGGAUGAGCCAGUAGAAGAGGAGGAGCCGAGUUUUUCCUGUCCCUCCAUUUCUAGCAACGCAAACCCUCUGAUUAAAGAAGUAUUGUCUACUGUUCUGCAGUUCCAAGCUUUUGUCAGCCAAACAUUGCAAAGAUUUGAAGAGAAAGUCUCCAGAUUGGAGGAUGCCGUAAGCAAAAUCAAAACUGGCAAUAGCCCAUCUAAUUAGAGGCUGACUUGAAACCCUGUCUGUAGAAGAAAACAACAAANUUAUCUUUAAAAAAUACAGCUAGUACAAUCCAAAGUUUCUAUAUGCGUGCAUAGCACAGCUCUGUGCCAAUCACUUGUAACAUUGGCACAACAUUUUUAAAUAAAUGCUUAUUGAGAAAUCA